rnacentral:rRNA from 1 species
GAUUGAACGCUGGCGGCAGGCCUAACACAUGCAAGUCGAACGGUAACAGGAAACAGCUUGCUGUUUCGCUGACGAGUGGCGGACGGGUGAGUAAUGUCUGGGAAACUGCCUGAUGGAGGGGGAUAACUACUGGAAACGGUAGCUAAUACCGCAUAACGUCGCAAGACCAAAGAGGGGGACCUUCGGGCCUCUUGCCAUCGGAUGUGCCCAGAUGGGAUUAGCUAGUAGGUGGGGUAACGGCUCACCUAGGCGACGAUCCCUAGCUGGUCUGAGAGGAUGACCAGCCACACUGAAACUGAGACACGGUCCAGACUCCUACGGGAGGCAGCAGUGGGGAAUAUUGCACAAUGGGCGCAAGCCUGAUGCAGCCAUGCCGCGUGUAUGAAGAAGGCCUUCGGGUGGUAAAGUACUUUCAGCGGAGAUGAAGGGAGUAAAGUUAAUACCUUUGCUCAUGGACGUUACCCGCAGAAGAAGCACCGGCUAACUCCGU